UGAUUAAAUACAAGGGACACAUACUGGAUUGAACCAACUAACAUGCACAUGAAUUGAGUUUAUUAUCAUUAUGGCAAUAACUAUAAGCUCAAACAGAGCUAGACAACUUGCAAGCAUUUAAAAUGCCCGUUCCCAAGAGAGACUGCAGCUUUAUAUAAGAUAUGUAAGCACAGGGGAAAGGCUGAAGCUGACAGGAUUUUUCCAAAAACUACAGACUGCUAAGAUCAAUGUGUUUUGCCCUAAAUAUCUCUGGCUUGUAUGGAAAAAUGUCAGAACAAUAAAGCAGUUAUUCUCUGGAGGUUGGCCUGAAAUUAUCACAAAUUACUGAAAACUGCAUGUUCUUCUAUUGUAGCCAAGCUAUCCCACCUUGUUGUUGAAGAUGUUGUUUCAAGAAUCUAACACUUAAAUGACUUUUGGAUGGAAUCCUGAUAUUUUCUAGAAUCACUAAAUGGUGCUGCCAAAGCUACAAGGCAAUUUACAAGACUGGAUAAGAGUACUCCAGGAAAGACUGGAUUUCAGACAAUGCAAAAUUGGAAGGAAUAUGUUGUGCACCAGAUGGUUGUGCUGCCAGAGGGAACUUGACAGGCUGGAGAAAUGAACUGACAGGAAAUUUGUGACGUUGAACAAAGAGAAAAGCCAAGUCCUGCACCAGAGGAUCCAGAUAAUAUCCCCAGGCAUCAGUACAGGCUGGGCACCAACUGGAUGGGAAGUAGGUCUCCUGAGAAGGAACGGCGGAUCCUGGUGAACAACGAGUUGCAUAUAAUUCAUCACUAGGUCCUUGUGGCUAAGAAAAUGAACAGAUUCCUGGGGUGUAUUAGUGUCCUGGUUUUGGC